GCAGCAAUGCAGUACAGAAGAACCGGGGGUGCAGGGGGCCCUGAGUACAUCUCUGGCAGGUGGAAAGCGCAUGUCUGCAUGCUUCCUGCCUGGUGCCCUAGGCCGUCUCUCUCCGUCGACUCUUUUCCAAGAACACUGACUUUGUUCACGAACCUCCGAGGACUUGUUUAUCACUUUCUGAAGAUCUGCCUCCUGGUCCUAUCGAAUUACGGGUCAGAACGUCAAGGAUCGCUCUGGGCCAGGCGUGGUUUUCACCGUGAAAUAGAUGACAUGACAGUGAGAACUCUUCCCGGAAACCAUACCAGCCAGCAGCCUCUUGAACCUCAGGAAGUUGAACUCCAGUCUGAAUUUUGCUAUCACCACAGCCUGGGGCAUGAUGGGAAGCUGCUUAGUCCCUCAGAGGGAGGUGCUGGACUAAUCGGCUUUACUGAGAAUUGCUGAGAAUGGAAUUAGAGUGAAGAGUCACCUGCAUGCUGCCCCGCUCCUGCUGGGCAGGAACCUACAAGAGACAGCAUCAGCCGGCCAGAGAGGGGUCUUCUUGUUGAAGAACGGACAGGACCUCAUCCAUCAGCCUUGGAAAGGAGACAGUCUUCCGAGGAGAUUCCCCAUGAACAAAAACUGUAAUGGCAUCUGAGGAAAUCCAGGACUGCUCACAGCAAAGCAGCCUCCAGCCCACCUUUAUUGGUUACUCCAGGGCAUCACAUGGCCUGGCAGAUGCCUAGAGACAGGAGAUGCUUCCAAAACCCAAGAACUAUACAGAAACAGCCAGUACCCAUGCGGAUGGCACACAUAUGCAAAGGGAAACCCACACGGGAGGAUGCUGGUACGGACGGUGCCAUCUCAGGGUUCAUCUUCAUGAGCCCUGGUUUUCUGGAUCUUUGUUAAGACUGCUCAUGGACACUCCGUUCCCAGUCUGGGACUCUCCCAUUUUAGCAAAUUCUCCAGUGUACUUGUUAAGCAGCACUGCCUUCCUUCCAGGUGCUGAGGACCAUCUCUCUCCCCUUCCUGACUUCCCACGGCCUGUUCUUCAGUCCCCAGUUCUCUUCCCAGAAGACACUGCAACCCAGCCUCUUCCCUCUGCCCUGCCCACACCUAACAGCAGACCGCGCUAGCCUUGCUGCAGUUUAACCCUAACCCCCCAGGCCCACACCUCCUCACACACAACCUCCCGACAAAGAUGUCCUUACAAGGGGUAAGUUAAGCUGUCCUCCACUCCUGAGGCAGACUCACCUUUUCCACCAAGCAGCCGCCUGAUCCUCCUACUGGGAUUGGCGGAGCAUGGCCUCUCAUCUAAGAUGUAGAUUUGUGUACUUUAUGCCUUUAGCGUAACUUCAUCUCAAGGCCCAUCUCCCUGCAAACGCUACCUUUUCGAAGAAGUCUGCAGCGUCACCUUUCUGAGGCACCCCACCCUCCUCACACUCCAUCAGCCUCUUCCUAACCAUGUUCACUGGCAUCUUCCAUCCCCUGUCUAGUUGUUACUUUACUGCCGGCUGCCCUAACCGGGCUGAUGCCGUUAUUUCUAAGGAAAUGGCAUGGAGGUCUCCUGUGGUUCACAUGUGGCCUGUCCCCUGCAAACUGAUACUGAGACUUGGUCCCCAGUGUAACAGCAGUGAGAUGUGGCAAGCCUUUAAAGGUUGAUGGGGGGGGAGGUAGUGAGACGGCUCACUGGACAACGGGUUGAGCACGCGCCUGAUGACUCCAGAACCCAUGGACAGGUGAAAGAGGAGAACCAAUUUCAUCCAGUUGUCCUUUGACCACACACACACACACACACACACACACACACACACACACACACACACCA